rnacentral:lncRNA from 1 species
GCUAUUCAGUGGAGAGGGUGUGUGGUCCAAGUCUGGGUUUAACGAACACCCUCUGUGUUCUGUUAGACACGUAACUAUUUUUACACAAUAUAGCAGGGGGUGUAAAGCCAUAACACAUACGUUUUUCCAGCAGCAGACUAUGAUCGAUAACGUCAAAAGCCACACUGAAGUCUAACAAAGCAGCCCCCACAAUAUUUGUAUCAUCCAUUUCUCAUUGGGAGUGGAGACUGCUUUGCUGAGGCAGAAGAUGGCUCCCCUGGCGAACAAACUCCGGGCAACACCGGUCAGUCGGAUAAAGACAAACGAUAAGACAGAGAUGCAUCCAACAUGUGCGAACGCCGUCCACCCACCAGCGUAGAAAAGAAACCACACAUACAAACAGUAUUGAACAUUAUUUGCCGAUAUCAACUGGAACUGGACAUCUUUCAAGCUGAAGAUUGAGGCCAGCUUUUGUAUGCUAGCGUACACUCCUAAACAGUACUGGAUGAAAACACAGCAAGAAAACACUUGCUGGAAGAGUGUGGGACUGCUGUACCAAUUGUCCACAUUCAAAGUGUGUCCCUUGCCGAGAUGAGAAGCCAGCGUGGUCAUCACCGUGGAACCUGACACCCCAAGCCCCUCAUAAUGUUGGAUGUCAGUGGUGGAUCCUGUGUAAACUAUAAUGUCCUGGACAAAUCCUGUUUUCACGUCGCACAUAACAAAGCACUUGACCCCAAACCUGUGCCUUUUGGGUGGAAUAUAUUGACAGAACGCCAGCCUACCCUUCCAUAACAUCAGGGACUCAUCAAUGCAUAGCUCCUUGUAUGGCACAAAGACCCUACCAACUGCUAAUGUCAGGCUGCUCCCAAGACAUAGCGGUUGGUCUCCUCGAGUAUGUCUCCCACCAGCUCCUCUGUCAGAAACAGCUUGAAGCACUCUGCCUCAGAGGGAAAUGGCAAGGGGCUUUGCACUCCAGACUGGGACUCAUCAAAGCAAACAGCAGUGCCAGGAAAUGGCUGGUAGCCUUCCAGCUACCACAGACCUCCUGUACAUUAUCCACUGUCGGUCUGCCUCCAUCAACACCAGCAUCUUCAAAGGGACCUCAGGCUUCGUCAGGGGACAAGGGGUCCUCAGAUUCAGGGUUCUCAAUGGCUAGAAGGUUGGGGGGCAGCUCCUCGUUGUCACUGUCAGAAUCUGAUUCCUGACUUUGAUACUCAUUGUCAGAAUUGUAAAAAAUCUUUCCGCAUUUGUGAGUUGUCUCCUUUUGAAAGACAUUGCUGAUGCUACAGCUUAGCUCACUAGCUACAUACAUAAAGAACAACACUGAAUCGCUCAGGGUGGGAGUGAGGUUACAUAAUUGACUGCCGACACGCGCCACUUGUAUCGAUACAUCACUAUCAGAAAAUGUGUUGUGUGGUAAUUAUUUAUUUAUUUACUGUUUUAUUCACAUUUUCAAGUACUGGUGACAAAUCAUGCAUUCGGAUUCUUGCAUAGAUUGUAAUGGACACAUAUUAUGUGUGUAAAAUACUUUUUUGAAGGUUGUACUGAUUAUGAUGAGCUAAGCUAAUUCCAGCUAUGUGUGGAGCCAUGUUUGUUGAAAUACAAUGCAUUCUGGGUUUCAUAUAAACGUCUGUCGAACCAAGGAUGUUAUAACAAAAUGAGGUGAGGGAGGGUUCACUCACUUUUUGAGUAAACUUCUGGAAGUGAAUGAUGAGAUGUGAACGAUGGUAGACGACACACCCCCUUCAACAUGCAUACUAUAAACAGACCAAACUCAUCUUGUCUCCUCUUAUUAUCUUUGGUUGAUGAGAAAAAACAAACAUGGCG